rnacentral:rRNA from 1 species
GCAAGAUGAGAGUUUGAUCCUGGCUCAGAACGAACGCUGGCGGCGUGCUUAACACAUGCAAGUCGAACGCGAAAGUCUUCUUCGGGAGAUGAGUAGAGUGGCGCACGGGUGAGUAACGCGUAAGUAAUCUACCCUGGUAUUUGGGAUAACCCACCGAAAGGUGUGCUAAUACCGGAUACGCUGAUUUAUCAGGAAAGAUGGCCUCUUCAUGAAAGCUAUCGUACCAGGAGGAGCUUGCGUACCAUUAGCUAGUAGGUAGGGUAAAGGCCUACCUAGGCGACGAUGGUUAGCGGGUCUGAGAGGAUGAUCCGCCACACUGGAACUGAAACACGGACCAGACUCCUACGGGAGGCAGCAGUGAGGAAUAUUGCGCAAUGGGGGAAACCCUGACGCAGCGACGCCGCGUGGAUGAUGAAGGCCUUCGGGUCGUAAAAUCCUGUCAGAUGGGAAGAAGUGUUAUAUGUUUAAUACACAUAUAAUUUGACGGUACCAUCAAAGGAAGCACCGGCUAACUCCGUGCCAGCAGCCGCGGUAAUACGGAGGGUGCAAGCGUUAAUCGGAAUUACUGGGCGUAAAGCGUACGUAGGCGGCUUGUUAAGCAAGAUGUGAAAGCCCCGGGCUCAACCUGGGAAUGGCAUUUUGAACUGGCAGGCUCGAGUUUUGAAGAGGGUGGUAGAAUUUCCUGUGUAGCGGUGAAAUGCGUAGAUAUAGGAAGGAAUACCAGUGGCGAA